CAAGUAAUUAAGUGCAUGUGGUGGAUGCCUUGGCAGUCAGAGGCGAUGAAAGACGUGAUAGCCUGCGAAAAGCUCCGGGGAGGCGGCAAAUAUCCUUUGAUCCGGAGAUGUCUGAAUGGGGGAACCCACCUACUUUAAGGUAGGUAUUGCAACAUGAAUACAUAGUGUUGCAAGGCGAACGAGGGGAAGUGAAACAUCUCAGUACCCUUAGGAAAAGAAAUCAAUUGAGAUUCCCUCAGUAGCGGCGAGCGAACGGGGAUCAGCCCAUUAAGUUAUGUGUGUUUUAGUGGAACGCUCUGGGAAGUGCGAACGUAGAGGGUGAUAUUCCCGUACACGAAAGGGCACACAUAAUGAUGACGAGUAGGGCGAGGCACGUGAAACCUUGUCUGAAUAUGGGGGGACCAUCCUCCAAGGCUAAAUACUCCUGACUGACCGAUAGUGAACCAGUACCGUGAGGGAAAGGCGAAAAGAACCCCUGUGAGGGGAGUGAAAUAGAUCCUGAAACCGCAUGCAUACAAGCAGUGGGAGCACCUUCGUGGUGUGACUGCGUACCUUUUGUAUAAUGGGUCAGCGACUUAUAUUCAGUAGCGAGGUUAACCGUAUAGGGGAGCCGUAGAGAAAUCGAGUCUUAAUAGGGCGUUUAGUUGCUGGGUAUAGACCCGAAACCAGGCGAUCUAUCCAUGAGCAGGUUGAAGGUUGGGUAACACUAACUGGAGGACCGAACCCACUGUCGUUGAAAAGCCAGGGGAUGACUUGUGGAUAGGGGUGAAAGGCUAAUCAAGCCUGGUGAUAGCUGGUUCUCCCCGAAAGCUAUUUAGGUAGCGCCUCGGACGAAUACCAUAGGGGGUAGAGCACUGUUUCGGCUAGGGGGUCAUCCCGACUUACCAAACCGAUGCAAACUCCGAAUACCUAUGAGUACUAUCCGGGAGACAGACUGCGGGUGCUAACGUCCGUAGUCAAGAGGAAAACAAUCCAGACCGCCAGCUAAGGCCCCAAAAUCAUAGUUAAGUGGGAAACGAUGUGGGAAGGCAUAGACAGCUAGGAGGUUGGCUUAGAAGCAGCCACCCUUUAAAGAAAGCGUAAUAGCUCACUAGUCGAGUCGGCCUGCGCGGAAGAUGUAACGGGGCUAAAACUAUGUGCCGAAGCUGCGGAUGUAUACUUUGUAUACGUGGUAGGGGAGCGUUCUGUAAGCCGAUGAAGGUGUGUUGAGAAGCAUGCUGGAGGUAUCAGAAGUGCGAAUGCUGACGUGAGUAACGACAAAACGGGUGAAAAACCCGUUCGCCGAAAGACCAAGGGUUCCAGUCCAACGUUAAUCGGGGCUGGGUGAGUCGACCCCUAAGGCGAGGCCGAAAGGCGUAGUCGAUGGGAAAAUGGUUAAUAUUCCAUUACUUCUGUGUAAUGCGAUGAGAGGACGAAGAAGGCUAAAUCAGCCUGGCGUUGGUUGUCCAGGUGAAAGGAUGUAGGCAUGUAUCUUAGGCAAAUCCGGGGUACUCUAUGCUGAGAUCUGAUAGCAAGCUGUACUUGUACAGCGAAGUGGUUGAUGCCAUGCUUCCAGGAAAAGUCUCUAAGCUUCAGUUACACAGGAAUCGUACCCGAAACCGACACAGGUGGUCAGGUCGAGUAGACCAAGGCGCUUGAGAGAACUCUGCUGAAGGAACUAGGCAAAAUGGUACCGUAACUUCGGGAGAAGGUACGCUGUUGUUGGUGAUGGAACUCGCUUCCUGAGCUGACGACAGCCGCAGAAACCAGGCCGCUGCAACUGUUUAUUAAAAACAUAGCACUCUGCAAACACGAAAGUGGACGUAUAGGGUGUGAUGCCUGCCCGGUGCUGGAAGGUUAAUUGAUGGGGUUAGCGUAAGCGAAGCUCUUGAUCGAAGCCCCAGUAAACGGCGGCCGUAACUAUAACGGUCCUAAGGUAGCGAAAUUCCUUGUCGGGUAAGUUCCGACCUGCACGAAUGGCAUAAUGAUGGCGGCGCUGUCUCCAGCAGAGGCUCAGUGAAAUCGAAAUCGCUGUGAAGAUGCAGUGUACCCGCGGCUAGACGGAAAGACCCCGUGAACCUUUACUGCAGCUUGACACUGAACUUUGACCUUACUUGUGUAGGAUAGGUGGGAGGCUUUGAAGCUGGAACGCUAGUUCCAGUGGAGCCGUCCUUGAAAUACCACCCUGGUAAUGUUGAGGUUCUAACUCUGUCCCGUGAUCCGGGACGAGGACCGUGUCUGGUGGGUAGUUUGACUGGGGCGGUCUCCUCCUAAAGAGUAACGGAGGAGUACGAAGGUGCGCUCAGCGUGGUCGGAAAUCACGCGUAGAGUAUAAAGGCAAAAGCGCGCUUAACUGCGAGACCCACAAGUCGAGCAGGUACGAAAGUAGGUCUUAGUGAUCCGGUGGUUCUGUAUGGAAGGGCCAUCGCUCAACGGAUAAAAGGUACUCUGGGGAUAACAGGCUGAUACCGCCCAAGAGUUCAUAUCGACGGCGGUGUUUGGCACCUCGAUGUCGGCUCAUCUCAUCCUGGGGCUGAAGCAGGUCCCAAGGGUAUGGCUGUUCGCCAUUUAAAGAGGUACGCGAGCUGGGUUUAGAACGUCGUGAGACAGUUCGGUCCCUAUCUACCGUGGGCGCUGGAAAUUUGAGAGGAUCUGCUCCUAGUACGAGAGGACCAGAGUGGACGAACCUCUGGUGUACCGGUUGUGACGCCAGUCGCAUCGCCGGGUAGCUAUGUUCGGAAGGGAUAACCGCUGAAAGCAUCUAAGCGGGAAGCCUACCUCAAGAUAAGAUUUCCCUAGGACUUUAUGUCCUCUAAAGAGCCGUUCGAGACUAGGACGUUGAUAGGUUGGAUGUGGAAGCAUAGUGAUAUGUGAAGCUGACCAAUACUAAUUGCUCGUGAGGCUUGACUA
rnacentral:rRNA from 1 species